AUGAACGCUGGCGGCGUGCCUAAUACAUGCAAGUCGAGCGAACAGACGAGGAGCUUGCUCCUCUGACGUUAGCGGCGGACGGGUGAGUAACACGUGGAUAACCUACCUAUAAGACUGGGAUAACUUCGGGAAACCGGAGCUAAUACCGGAUAAUAUAUUGAACCGCAUGGUUCAAUAGUGAAAGACGGUUUUGCUGUCACUUAUAGAUGGAUCCGCGCCGCAUUAGCUAGUUGGUAAGGUAACGGCUUACCAAGGCAACGAUGCAUAGCCGACCUGAGAGGGUGAUCGGCCACACUGGAACUGAAACACGGUCCAGACUCCUACGGGAGGCAGCAGUAGGGAAUCUUCCGCAAUGGGCGAAAGCCUGACGGAGCAACGCCGCGUGAGUGAUGAAGGUCUUCGGAUCGUAAAACUCUGUUAUUAGGGAAGAACAAAUGUGUAAGUAACUAUGCACGUCUUGACGGUACCUAAUCAGAAAGCCACGGCUAACUACGUG
rnacentral:rRNA from 1 species